rnacentral:tRNA from 1 species
AGAGAAUUGACUGAGUGGUUUAAGGUGGUAAGCUGACUUAUUUGGUUUAAAAAAAUCACAUCCGUUCAAAUCGGAUAUUCUCUG